rnacentral:rRNA from 1 species
CAACCACCUCAUCUAUUUCAUCUCACCCAUUUCACUCCUUGCCAACUACUUUAGCCCACCUCAUCAAUUGCAUUCUUCAUCUAUCAACCGCAUGGAGAAAAGGAGAUCCAAGGCAAGAAUAGGAAAAGGAAGCAUUGGGUGAUUCCAUGAUUGACUUCUUAAUUCUUUGCCAGGAAAGAACUCCCCCUUUCUUGAAUCACUUCUCCUCAAGAUCAUCUCUUUCACCACAGCCUGAUCCUUUGUGUUUGUGAGAGAGUGUUCCUCUGGAUUCCUGACAUACACUUUGAUUGCAACUAUUUCAAGGAGUUCUUUCCAAGUGACUUUGCUUUGCUUAUUACUCUACAUCCUACCUCCUUCUUACUUGCAAGAUUGUUGCUUUCUGUUGCAUGCUACUCUUGAUAUCUUGCAUGUUAAGUUCGUGUGGUAGUCUAGUCCUUGUUGCUUAAGUUAAAACCUGCCAACCUUUAAAAUGGAAAAUAAUUAUGAGAUGUCAUGUCCAAGAAACAGAGCGUGUGAUUUCAUUCUAAGUGUACUUACUCUGCAAAAUUAUGUUUUCCAUGCACACAUGAGCUACUUACCAGUAUACAAUUAUUUCUUAAUUGCAAUUUCAAUCAUCUCACAUAUACAACUAUUUUGCAAUUGCAAUUUUGACCAUCUCACACGUACAACUAUUUUGCAAUUGCAAUUUUUACCAUCUCAAGAUAUACAUGUUGUUUUCAUAUGCAAAUAAAUAUUAAAAUUUGCAAAUAAAACAUCUUGACCGCUGGUUCAAAAACUUUUGUGUGAGGUUGAUAUCACGCUGAGGAGCUGUCGUGACAACGAGAAGCAGGACAUAGAGACGAGACGAAUCGCGAUGACAUGG